UUUCGUAGCAACCGUUGACAUUUUGAUAUUUUUGUUCAGAAUUUUUGUUUCAUGUUUGAUUUAAGGAGGCAAAUUGAAAUAAAUUCGAUUGAAUCCGAAUAUUUCCGAAACGACAAGCAAAUAUUACCGCCUCGGAACCUCUGGGAUUUAUUCCACAAAGAGGAGGAAGAUGAGUAAGUACAUAACUGCAAUCUCCAAAUUGUAUCGGCGUCACUACGACACGUGAUAAAAGUCGGCAAAACUUAACAAUCCAAGCCUAUCGUCCGAGGGAUGUGUCUGGAGCAUCUUCAGACAGACAACACUAGUGUUCGAAAGUAAAAAAUUUCUUGAAAAAACUUCAACGGGUUCCUACAUUCAAACGUGAUAGUAAAUUUCUGCUCUGUGCUAUCUACUGCCCCACUCGGAGAAACUCACGAUGAUGCGAACCUAAGAAUCUCUUUUGCUUAUCCGCUGGUACGGAACUCGCAAUACGCCCGUAUCGCGCAAUUUUAGCAUCGAUCAGAAGUGGGACUCAUUUCAGGCAACGCGUUUCCAGCAAGAAAACAGACCAUUUCCAACCGACGAUGAAGGUUUGCCAUUGCCACUGACAGUCCGAGAGAGAUCUAGAACAAAAUCUGUUCACCCAUACACCAAAUAUUUCAUCAACGCUUCGUUUCGACUACGAAGAUAUGAAACUGGAUCCAUUGCUUCAAAACUGAAGAGCUAACUAGCUGUAGCACGCAGUCGGAGAAGAUUCUAAACAACGCCAAGCUACUGUCUCUAGUUAGUGAGAAGAAAUUAUGGCCAUCGUUACUCAAGUGCUAAUUAAACGGGAACUGGGCCAUGCCACAUUCGACGCCUAACCGCAAUCGUUCAGAUCGAAGAAAAAUACCGCUUGCUUGAAAACAGCUGUGCCGAAAACAGCAGCCACAGCUUAGUAGUUCCUAAGAUAAAGUUGAACAGGAAGCAAUCAGAAUGGAUAAUAUGGACAUGUGGAUCAACGAUGUUAACAUCGUGCUGACAUCGAAAGUUUCCAUUCAUGGAUUUAUCGGAAAACAAGAGAAAUAGUUGUACAUGCUGUGCCUUUGAACGAUGGAUGAUGGCAGUCGUCUAACCGCAACUCUAAUCCUACUCUUCACGAAGAUGUGUCUCACUGGUAGAAAAAUUUAUGAUGGGAUGGAGAACAUUUAAGUCGCUUCACUCACGGGAAUUGACCUGGUGUUUCAAGGUACAUGCCGCCAAAUGGUACAUAGCAGAAGUGCUAUUGCAGGAAAUUGGAACAGAAAUGGAAAAUACGUCGAACGUGAAAGUUUUGUAUCCCAACUACUGUCAUGUCCUUUUAAACAAGGAUAAUAGUAGUAUCUUGGAGUAGAAAAAGAAAUAUUUUUUUCUUUUCAUUCUAUCUGAAGAUUAAAAACCGCCUCAAACCGAUGCAAAACUCGUAGAAACUCGACUUUGAAGCUACUAGCAUUUUCUUCGGACAAACAAGAUUUUUUUGUAUUGGCUAAACGCAACGAAAUCGAAUCGUGUUUUUCGCUUGAGCAGGAGAUUAUACAAAAGUUAAUUUUGGAGGCCUACACGGACUUUCGAUUUUGAUGAACCUAACGAAUAAAGUAGUGAAUAUUGGUUCGAUAUGUCCCGCAACGGAGCUUUGGUUGCUUCGUAUCAUAGCUGCAAUGCCUGCACGUAAUAAAGCUACACCAGAAGCCGAUCUACUGGCAUUACCUCAGCUACAACAAUCGUUCAUCGAUCGAACUUUGAAUUGAUCUGCUUUCUCCUGUGAUACAAAAUGAUCAACUGCGCAAAGCGCAGAUUAUUACCUUGUAAGAUUUAACCAUGAAAGAAUUGAGCGAUGGAACGCUCGAAAAUCUUAAGGAAACAGAUUAUCUGCGAAUUGUUACUAAUUGCCAGCAGCAACACCCAUACCUUAAUAAACCAAUCGUAUGCUGUAUGGCGGACGUUCUUGGAUUGUUGACUUUGAAUUGAUCAAAGUGUAAAGAGGUGUAAACAAACCCCAAAAUUUUAAUCUAUUGUGAAAAACACAGUCAUCCGGAUGAGUGAAAAUAGCGAAACACAAAAUUGUUUCAAGACUGCAAAUUAAGGUAGCUGAACAAAAAUCUGUGUACAAUAUGAAGAUGGAUAAAAAGGAGAAGGCAAGGAGAAGGAGAAAUGGCCGUUGGGUGGACUGAUUUGCAUCCGUCGUAAAACCGGUUGGAGAGCCUGCGGACAUGGUCAUGAGAAACGUGACCAUCCAGGACGUUCGGACAAAAGAUUGAAACUUUGAUUCGACAAAAUAAAUUGAAAUUUUA